rnacentral:tRNA from 1 species
AGGGUAUUAGUUUAACUAAAAACAAUUAAAUUGCAAUUAAUAAAUAUUUUAAAAUAUGCCUUA